rnacentral:rRNA from 1 species
CCUACGGGUGGCAGCAGUAGGGAAUCUUGCACAAUGGAGGCAACCCUGAUGCAGCGACGCCGCGUGAGUGAAGAAGGAUUUCGGUAUGUAAAGCUCUAUUAGCAGGGAAGAACAUGACCGUAACUGAUUAAGAAGCCCCGGCGAACUACGUGCCAGCAGCCGCGGUAAUACGUAGGGGGCAAGCGUUCUCCGGAUUUACUGGGUGUAAAGGGAGCGUAGACGGCAGCACAAGUCUGGAGUGAAAUGCCUGGGCUUAACCCCGGAAGUGCUUUGGAAACUGGGCAGCUAGAGUGCAGGAGAGGGAAGUGGAAUUCCUGGUGUAGCGGUGAAAUGCGUAGAUAGUAGGAGGAACACCAGUGGCGAAGGCGGCUUACUGGACUGUAACUGACGUUGAGGCUCGAAAGCGUGGGGAGCAAACAGGAUUAGAUACCCGAGUAGUC